rnacentral:lncRNA from 1 species
AUCCCAGAUUAUCAACUCAUAAUGGCAUGAUGCUAACAUACACGAGAUUUGGAGUAAUCAUACACACGAUCUCAAAGUUCUGCCAAGAACAAGGCCAGAAGGUUUUUUCCCUUUUCUUUUUGGGUGGUGGGGCACAAUUAAUGGGGAAGGUGACGUGGGAAUUUCUUACUGGCUAGGGAGCAAAGAUGCUAUCUGACGUGUACAGAAAAGGGAAUGAUCCACUGCCAUCUCUACAGGUGGAACGGAUGACGAUUGAAGCCCUGUAAAGAGUCAUAAGCAGGAAAAGAAAGCCGCGCCCUUUUCUUCCACCUCCUUUCUAUCUUCCUUCCUUCCUUCCUUCUAAGGUGCGAUGUUUCUUGGGAGUUUUGGUGAUGGGAUCAUGAGACACGCCUCUCGGACGAACCAGCAAAGAAAAGCCAAGUCCCAAGGACUUUACACAGUGCGAGAACCAUCGUCUAUGGCUGAGAAGGGCAAGGAGAGGACGGAGGCUUGAAGUCCGGAUACUGCAAAAUAAGAGGAGAGCCAAAAAUCAGCAUGAAAUGCGCAAAGAGCAAGCAGGGAACUAUUUCCAUGCAAGAUUCAAAGGCAGUGGCAUCUCAGGUAUUCCACAGAAUCAUGAAGUACCCGUAGCCAGAGGCUUUCCUUUGGCAUUUCUUAUGAUUCGAGGGCACAUCAUGUUCUUGGCCCAGUCAAGAACGAUGCCUCACAUAUGAUUUGGAGUAUAUGAUGAAUUCGAGCAGAUAAUCUCUGGUUAAGAGGGAGAGUGGAAAUUUGAACGGUGAGGAUAAAACAAGGAUGAAAAGGAUCAAGACUCACGUAUGGAUAAGGUGAAAGUGAUCUGGGAAUCGCAGGCACUGAUUCUGCUUUGACUUCUGCUUCAGGAACAGAGUUGACUUCUUGGGGAGGUUCAGCAGCCGUCUCUGCCUUCAGAACAGUUGCUUCGGUUGCUUGGGGUGCUUCUGGUGUUAGGGGUUCUU